rnacentral:rRNA from 1 species
GUCGGGAAUUUUGCGCAAUGGAGGAAACUCUGACGCAGUGACGCCGCGUAUAGGAAGAAGGUUUUCGGAUUGUAAACUAUUUUAGUCAGGGAAGAAAAAUGACAGUACCUGAAGAAUAAGCUCCGGCUAACUACGUGCCAGCAGCCGCGGUAAUACGUAGGGAGCAAGCGUUAUCCGGAUUUAUUGGGUGUAAAGGGUGCGUAGACGGGAAGACAAGUUGGUUGUGAAAGCCCUCGGCUCAACUGAGGAACUGCAACCAAAACUAUCAUUCUUGAGUGCGGGAGAGGAAAGUGGAAUUCCUAGUGUAGCGGUGAAAUGCGUAGAUAUUAGGAGGAACACCAGUGGCGAAGGCGACUUUCUGGACCGUAACUGACGUUGAGGCACGAAAGUGUGGGGAGCAAACAGGAUUAGAAACCCGGGUAGUCC